UUUAGUUUUAGUGAUUUGUUGUGUAAACUGUUUCUUUAUAAAAGAAAUGCACCUGUUUCAGAAAAUAUUCUAGUGUGAUCAAUAAUCUAAAUUUUACGAAAUACAUGUUUAGGGAUUUAAGGGGAUAAUAAGCACGUGAAAGCCCAAACGCAUAUAUGUCCCACAACGAAAAUGUCACAUAUUAUCCGUGAAUGCAAUAUAUAUCUAUACAAGAUUAAUAGUCACGAUGUGAAUUUCUAUGGAGUGGGGUUUAUAGUAUUGCCAAUCUAUAAAUAAUCAUUUUUAUUUUUCAACUAAUCGAUUUG
rnacentral:lncRNA from 1 species